GACGAACGCUGGCGGCGUGCUUAACACAUGCAAGUCGAGCGAGCAGAUGCGGCGCUUGCUCCUCUGUCGUUAGCGGCGGACGGGUGAGUAACACGUGGAUAAUCUCCCUAUCUGUCUGGGAUAAUUACGGGAAACCGGCGCUAAUACCAGAUGAUAUACUGCACCGCAUGGUUGAUUGGUGAAAGACGGCUUUUCUGUCAGUUAUAGAUGGAUCCGCGCCGCAUUAGCUAGUUGGUAAGGUCACGGCUUACCAAGGCAACGCUGCGUAGCCGACGUGAUAGGGGGGUGGGCCACACUGGAGGGGAGACACGGUCCAGGCUCCUGCGGGAGGCAGCAGAAGGGAAUCGUCCGCAACGGUCGGAAGCAUGCCGGAGCAGCGCCGCGUCAGUGGUGAAGGUCUUCGGAUCGUAAAACUCUGUUAUUGGGGGAGAACAAAUGUGUAAGUAACUGUGCACGUCUUGACGGUACCUGAUCAAAAAGCCCCGGCUAACUACGUG
rnacentral:rRNA from 1 species